UACAGAGGUGGCAAGCGUUGUUCGGAAUUACUGGGCGUAAAGGGCGCGUAGGCGGUCCUGUAAGUCCCGUGUGAAAUCCCCCGGCUCAACUGGGGAAUGGCACGGGAGACUGCGGGGCUUGAGUUCGGGAGAGGGAAGCGGAAGUCCGGGUGUAGCGGUGAAAUGCGUAGAUAUCCGGAGGAACACGGGUGGCGAAGGUGGCUUCCUGGACCGACACUGACGCUAAGGCGCGAAAGCUAGGGGAGCAAACGGG
rnacentral:rRNA from 1 species